rnacentral:rRNA from 1 species
CAUGAACGCUAGCGACAGGCUUAAUACAUGCAAGUCGAGGGGCAGCACAGGUAGCAAUACUGGGUGGCGACCGGCAAACGGGUGCGGAACACGUACACAACUUACCUUAGAGUGGGGGAUAGCCCAGGGAAACUUGGAUUAAUACCCCAUAAAACAGGGGGCCCGCAUGGGCAUAUUGUUAAAGAUUUAUCGCUUUAAGAUGGGUGUGCGUAUGAUUAGGUAGUUGGUAGGGUAAAGGCCUACCAAGCCGACGAUCAUUAACUGGUGUGAGCGCACGACCAGUCACACGGGCACUGAGACACGGGCCCGACUCCUACGGGAGGCAGCAGUAAGGAAUAUUGGUCAAUGGACGGAAGUCUGAACCAGCCAUGCCGCGUGAAGGAUGAAGGUCCUCUGGAUUGUAAACUUCUUUUAUAGGGGGCGAAAAAGGGCCAUUCUUGGUCAACUGAGGUACCCUAUGAAUAAGCACCGGCUAACUCCGUGCCAGCAGCCGCGGUAACAC